AUUGAACGCUGGCGGCAUGCCUUACACAUGCAAGUCGAACGGCAGCACGGGUGCUUGCACCUGGUGGCGAGUGGCGAACGGGUGAGUAAUACAUCGGAACGUACCUUAUCGUGGGGGAUAACGCAGCGAAAGCUGUGCUAAUACCGCAUACGCCCUGAGGGGGAAAGCGGGGGAUCGCAAGACCUCGCGCGAUUAGAGCGGCCGAUGCCUGAUUAGCUUGUUGGUGGGGUAAAAGCCCACCAAGGCGACGAUCAGUAGCUGGGCUGAGAGGACGAUCAGCCACACUGGGACUGAGACACGGCCCAGACUCCUACGGGAGGCAGCAGUGGGGAAUUGUGGACAAUGGGGGCAACCCUGAUCCAGCAAUGCCGCGUGAGUGAAGAAGGCCUUCGGGUUGUAAAGCUCUUUUGUCAGGGAAGAAACACCGGCUCUAACACAGUCCGGGAAUGACGGUACCUGAAGAAUAAGCACCGGCUAACUACGUGCCAGCCGCCGCAGUAA
rnacentral:rRNA from 1 species